AUUGAACGCUGGCGGCAUGCCUUACACACGCAAGUCGAACGGUAACAGGUCUUCGGAUGCUGACGAGUGGCGAACGGGUGAGUAAUACAUCGGAACGUGCCCGAGAGUGGGGGAUAACGAGGCGAAAGCUUUGCUAAUACCGCAUACGAUCUCAGGAUGAAAGCAGGGGACCGCAAGGCCUUGCGCUCACGGAGCGGCCGAUGGCAGAUUAGGUAGUUGGUGGGAUAAAAGCUUACCAAGCCGACGAUCUGUAGCUGGUCUGAGAGGACGACCAGCCAAACUGGGACUGAGACACGGCCCAGACUCCUACGGGAGGCAGCAGUGGGGAAUUUUGGACAAUGGGCGCAAGCCUGAUCCAGCCAUGCCGCGUGCAGGAUGAAGGCCUUCGGGUUGUAAACUGCUUUUGUACGGAACGAAAAGACUCUGGUUAAUACCUGGGGUCCAUGACGGUACCGUAAGAAUAAGCACCGGCUAACUACGUGCCAGCCGCCGCGGUAAAAC
rnacentral:rRNA from 1 species